rnacentral:rRNA from 1 species
UACGUAGGGUGCGAGCGUUUAAUCGGAAUUACUGGGCGUAAAGCGUGCGCAGGCGGUUUUUGUAAGCCAGAUGUGAAAGCCCCGGGCUCAACCUGGGAAUUGCAUUUGAGACUGAAUAGCUAGGGUGCGGAAGAGGGAAGCGGAAUUUCCGGUGUAGCGGUGAAAUGCGUAGAUAUCGGAAGGAACACCAGUGGCGAAAGCGGCUUCCUGGUCCAGCACCGACGUCAGGCACGAAAGCGUGGGGAGCAAACAGG